CACGUAGGGGGCGUGCGUUGUCCGGAUUUAUUGGGCGUAAAGAGCUCGUAGGCGGCUCGGUAAGUCAGGUGUGAAACCUCCAGGCUCAACCUGGAGACGCCACCUGAUACUGCCGUGGCUUGAGUCCGGUAGGGGAGCGUGGAAUUUCUGGUGUAGCGGUGAAAUGCGCAGAUAUCAGAAGGAACACCAGCGGCGAAGGCGGCGCUCUGGACCGGUACUGACGCUGAGGAGCGAAAGCGUGGGUAGCAAACAGG
rnacentral:rRNA from 1 species